CUAGACAUGGUGCUGGACAUGAUACUACUCGUGGUGAUGGUUGAGUUGGGUCUUAUCCUAACAGGCCUCGGACUAGGGUACAGACUAAUCCUCAGUAUGGAGUUAGGAGUGGGGGUCAGCCCCAAGUUGUGGCUCUUAAGCGAGUGCAGGACCAGGUUGAUCAUGAUACUCCAGCGGCAACACCUGUUGCCGUACCUACCAUUACAU
rnacentral:lncRNA from 1 species